rnacentral:rRNA from 1 species
UACGUAGGGUGCGAGCGUUGUCCGGAAUUAUUGGGCGUAAAGGGCUCGUAGGCGGUUUGUCGCGUCGGGAGUGAAAACACCGGGCUUAACCCCGUGCCUGCUUCCGAUACGGGCAGACUAGAGGUAUGCAGGGGAGAACGGAAUUCCUGGUGUAGCGGUGAAAUGCGCAGAUAUCAGGAGGAACACCGGUGGCGAAGGCGGUUCUCUGGGCAUUACCUGACGCUGAGGAGCGAAAGUGUGGGGAGCGAACAGG